UGGGGAAUAUUGGCACAAUGGGCGAAAGCCUGAAUGCAGCAACGCCGCGUGCGGGAUGACGGCCUUCGGGCUUGUAAAACCGCUUUCAGCAGGGACGAAGGUUUUCUGACGGUACCUGCAGAAGAAGCACCGGCUAACUACGUGCCAGCAGCCGCGGUGAUACGUAGGGUGCGAGCGUUGUCCGGAAUUAUUGGGCGUAAAGAGCUUGUAGGCGGUCCGUUGCGUCGGAAGUGAAAACUCAGGGCUUAACCCCUGAGCCUGCUUUCGAUACGGGCGGACUUGAGGGAUGUAGGGGAGAACGGAAUUCCUGGUGGAGCGGUGGAAUGCGCAGAUAUCAGGAGGAACACCAGUGGCGAAGGCGGUUCUCUGGACAUUUCCUGACGCUGAGAAGCGAAAGCGUGGGGAGCAAACAGGCUUAGAUACCCUGGUAGUCCACGCCGUAAACGGUGGGCACUAGGUGUGGGACCCAUUCCACGGGUUCCGUGCCGUAGCUAACGCAUUAAGUG
rnacentral:rRNA from 1 species